UUAGCAGACAACCUCUUUCUGGCUUUGAGAGAAGUCCAAAUGGGAACUAUUAACAAAGGCACGCGCACAGUUUUAUCUCCAUCAGAAAGUGCUUUGGCGGCCUGAUUCUAGAGCAGCAGUAAGCCACCUGAGAGAAGACUUGAUGAAUCUAGCCCCUGACUAAGAAUGUCAGAGGCAACACAGUGUGCCCUGAGGUCUACCCUAAGGCCCCAGCUUCCAUGGCCUGUCCCCAAAGACUUGCCCACUUGCAGGAUCUCCCACACCCACUCCCAGGAACCAACCAGCUUCCUGACAGGAAGCAAUGAAGCUGUUGAAGUUUACAAAAGGGGGUCCAUUGCUGUGGUUUAUGCAACCUCCCUUCGUGCAUUUGUUUUCUCACGCAUGCUGGGUUACAGAUGGGGAUAAAACAUGCAUAUAAUAGGCUCCAAUCACGGCUCUCAGACACUGGAUAGCGCCAGGGCAGGAUGGUAAAAGCCAGCAGUGGACAGAGCAGCGUGAUCCUUCUUCUCUUACCAAACCCAGAAAGACCACCUAACUCAGAGUGUUCCCAAUCAGUGCCUCCACCAUAUAGUGUGAGUGGGCAGAAGGGGAAGGAUUGAGAGUCCUACCAUGGUGGUUCUCAACCUCCUUGAUGCUGCGACUCUGUAAUGUAGUUCCUCAUGUUGUGGUGAACC